rnacentral:rRNA from 1 species
GACGUAGGGCGCGAGCGUUGUCCGGAUUUAUUGGGCGUAAAGAGCUCGUAGGCGGCUUGUCGCGUCGACUGUGAAAACCCGUGGCUCAACCAUGUGGUCUGCAGUCGAUACGGGCAGGCUAGAAUUCGGUAGGGGAGACUGGAAUUCCUGGUGUAGCGGUGAAAUGCGCAGAUAUCAGGAGGAACACCGGUGGCGAAGGCGGGUCUCUGGGCCGAUAUUGACGCUGAGCAGCGAAAGCGUGGGGAGCGAACAGG